CCUANGGGGGGCAGCAGUGAGGAAUAUUGGUCAAUGGGCGCAAGCCUGAACCAGCCAAGCCGCGUGAAGGAUGAAGGCCCUAUGGGUUGUAAACUUCUUUUAUACGGGAAGAACCCCCCGACGUGUCGGGGACUGACGGUACCGUAUGAAUAAGCAUCGGCUAACUCCGUGCCAGCAGCCGCGGUAAUACGGAGGAUGCAAGCGUUAUCCGGAUUUAUUAGGUAUAAAGGGUGCGUAGGCGGACCUGUCAGUCAGUGGUGAAAUACUAGUGCUUAACACUAGAACUGCCAUUGAUACUGCAGGUCUUGAGUACAGUUGAGGUAGGCGGAAUGUGUGGUGUAGCGGUGAAAUGCUUAGAUAUCACACAGAACACCGAUUGCGAAGGCAGCUUACUAAGUUGUAACUGACGCUGAUGCACGAAAGCAUGGGGAGCAAACAGGAUUAGAUACCCGUNUANUC
rnacentral:rRNA from 1 species